rnacentral:ncRNA from 1 species
GAGAGCCCGAUACCGAGAGAUCGGUACGUCGGGUUCGGGCAGGCGGCCACGGGAAACGGACCGGUGGCAACACCGACACCGCGCCCGCGGCCGACCUCGC